rnacentral:rRNA from 1 species
CGGCGGACGGGUGAGUAACACGUGGAUAACCUACCUAUAAGACUGGGACUAACUUCGGGAAACCGGAGCUAAUACCGGAUAAUAUAUUGAACCGCAUGGUUCAAUAGUGAAAGACGGUUUUGCUGUCACUUAUAGAUGGAUCCGCGUCGCAUUAGCUAGUUGGUAAGGUAACGGCUUACCAAGGCAACGAUGCGUAGCCGACCUGAGAGGGUGAUCGGCCACACUGGAACUGAGACACGGUCCAG